AUUGAACGCUGGCGGCAGGCCUAACACAUGCAAGUCGAACGGUAACAGGAAGCAGCUUGCUGCUUCGCUGACGAGUGGCGGACGGGUGAGUAAUGUGUGGGAAACUGCCUGAUGGAGGGGGAUAACUACUGGAAACGGUAGCUAAUACCGCAUAACGUCGCAAGACCAAAGAGGGGGACCUUAGGGCCUCUUGCCAUCGGAUGUGCCCAGAUGGGAGUGGCUUGUAGGUGGGGUAACGGCUCACCUAGGCGACGAGCUCUAGCUGGUCUGAGAGGAUGACCAGCCGCAUGGGAACGUGGACAGGGACCAGACUACUACGGGACGGAGCAGUGUGGUACAGUGGACAGUAGGGGGGAACCUUGUGCAGCCAUGCCGCGUGUAUUGAGAAGGCGCUGCGGGUGGAAAGUACUUUCAGCGGGUAGGAAGGGAGUUAAGUUAAUACCAUGCCUGAUUGACGGUAACCGGUAAAGAAGCACCGGCUAACUCCGUG
rnacentral:rRNA from 1 species